GGCCCAAACCUGAAGAAGGUAGAUUAGUAAGGUCGGCCGAUCCUACUAUUCUACUGUACUUCGAAAAUGGGCCC
rnacentral:pre_miRNA from 1 species